rnacentral:rRNA from 1 species
CAGUCGCCGCGGUAAUACGGAGGGAGCUAGCGUUGUUCGGAAUUACUGGGCGUAAAGCGCACGUAGGCGGUUAUUCAAGUCAGAGGUGAAAGCCCGGGGCUCAACCCCGGAACUGCUUUUGAAACUAGAUGACUGGAAUCUUGGAGAGGUCAGUGGAAUUCCGAGUGUAGAGGUGAAAUUCGUAGAUAUUCGGAAGAACACCAGUGGCGAAGGCGACUGACUGGACAAGUAUUGACGCUGAGGUGCGAAAGCGUGGGGAGCAAACAGGAUUAGAUACCCCCGUAGUCCCUGUCUCUUAUAA